CAUCUGUCAUCUCUCAGUGAGGCCGAAGGCUGCUCCUGCACAUCCUCCAUCGCUUGGCGAGACCGAAGGCUGCACCUGCACAUCUGUCAUCUCUCAGCAAGGCUGAAGGCUGCUUCUCCUGCACAUCCUCCAUCGCUCGGCGAGGCUGAAGGCUGUUUCUCCUGCACAUCCAUCGCCUGGCGAGGCCGAAGGCUGCUCCUCUUGCACAUCCUCCAUCGCUGGGCUCCAGCGGGUUGCGGCGGGAGGCGGUCGCUGUAGCAACGCGCCGUGCGGCGCAGGGGAGGGGAUGCUCGGCGCAGGCAUGGCUCCCGGCGGACACACAGCCCUGCCUGCCGCAGGCCAUGGGCUCCCUUGAAGAGGCAGCACCCCAACCCCAGCCCAGAGGGAUGUGGAGCCACAGAGGACCCUGUGACUGACGCAGCCCCUCCAGCCCGUAGCUGAAUGGAAAGACUGCAGAAGGUAAGGGGGCUGUGGGGAGGGUGCUGGGGGGCUCUGGGGAGGGCACUGGGGGGCUGGCAGGG
rnacentral:lncRNA from 1 species